AUCAACGGGCAUAUCACGUUGAAAGCACCGGCUUCUGUCCGAUCACCGAAGUUAAGUAACGUCGGGCAUAGUUAGUACCUAGAUGGGAGACCGCUUAAGACACUGCGUGCUGUUGAUU
rnacentral:rRNA from 1 species